rnacentral:rRNA from 1 species
UACGGGGGGGGCAAGCGUUGUUCGGAAUUACUGGGCGUAAAGGGCUCGUAGGUGGCCAACUAAGUCAGACGUGAAAUCCCUCGGCUUAACCGGGGAACUGCAUCUGAUACUGGAUGGCUUGAGUUUGGGAGAGGGACGCGGAAUUCCAGGUGUAGCGGUGAAAUGCGUAGAUAUCUGGAGGAACACCCGUCGCGAAGGCGGCGUCCUGGACCAACACUGACACUGAGGAGCGAAAGCCAGGGGAGCAAACGGG